CUUCAGAUAUUUACAUUGAAGUCCAUCGUACCGAAAGAAUCGUCAUCACUAAACCGAAUUUUCGAAAGAUUAUUCCGUGAGCCGUGAACUAGGGUCAUCGAUGGAUCGAUUAGAUCGAAUCCAAGAUCAGAGGCUGGAAGGAUGCUGGGUAAAAUAAUACCCUUAAUAUUUCUGAAACUAACGGGACGAUUCGAUGUCCGUGAUAUUACACUGAGAUAUGCCCUUUACUUCUGCUGGAAGUAUUUUCGUUGUUUAAUUUGAUUGAAGGAUUUAAGGACUCUAAUCGAUUCUAAGGACUUUUACGAAUCUAACGAGGCUAAUCCUUCCAGGAUCGGACGUAUUUUAAGCCUGAUAUAGCCAUUUGUUAAGUUAAAAUCAAAAAUAAAGUUAGU